CAGGCCCCGCAGCCACAGGCUGAUAGCACAGCAGGUGCCGGCCCCACACUGGAUGUCUCGUUCACAGGCCUACCGGAGAGAAAGGGCCAACCCGUUAGUGUCACCCAAAGGAAGAAUCCGAUCCGGAUCAGGAUCCGAAGGGGGCGACUACGCGCCUCAGAUCAACAGGACACCUUGGCCUGUGUCUAAUGCCACUGCUUGUCUCUUGGGAGGGACACUCGGACUCAGCAGAGUACCAGACUUCAGUCUGGGGAACCCUUCCUGCUCAGUGCACCGGCAUUAUUCAGAUGAGCUCAGAGGCGGAAGAUGAGACCUGAAUCUCCAACAGCAUCCCAUCACCGUCAGAACGGAUACAAAUGGAUGCAUCGGGGACCUUGACAGUUGCUCUAACUCUUCCAAGAGCACCACACUUCAAACAGUUGUGUAUGAGAAAUCUAGCAACCUGGACUGCCUCCUGCUUGUCACCACCUAGCAACCUGGACUGCCUCCUAGCAACCUGGACUGCCUCCUAGCAACCUGGACUGCCUCCUGCUUGUCACCACCUAGCAACCUGGACUGCUUCCUGGCAACCUGGACUGCCUCCUAGCAACCUAGACUGCCUCCUGCUUGUCCCCACCCAGCCCACACCUCAGGAGCAGACCAUGCAACUCUUCCUGAGCCAGUGGGUGCUGUGUGGUUUCUGUCCUGUUCCUGGCACUUCUUCCUUGUAUCUUUGCUCAAUGGAUUUCUAGACAGAACAGGCUCUGCUUCCCCUUCCCAUUCUCUCCUGGACCUAUGCCAGCCUUCUUGCUCCCAUCACCCAGACAGCUGCCUGCGUCACCCUUCACCUUGUUAAUGCCUAAAGUACCAUCUUCACCAUCUCCUCCCUUGCUCUGCCUCUUGUGCCCUCGACAUGAGUGCCUCCUCUCUCCUCUCACACUAGCAUUUCCUCUAGGUUCCCUGGUUCUCUCUGAACUCUCCUAUGCUUCCUUCCACCCAUUAAAUGACUUUCCUGAGGUUGCAAAUUCAUCCCAAAGCACCACAGCCCCCAUCGUGCUAAUGAUCUCAAGUCUGUGUUCCUAGGCACUUGGCCAGCAGCCUCUUGGACAUCGCCCCGUGUUGGUACCUCUCUGACACCUCUAAUAAACCCCUGUCCCCUGGCACCUCUUUCCAUCUGCCCUCCUAAGCGCAUUCUCAGGGCUCAUAAUUGUGAAUAACAGAACACAGCCUGGCUUGUUUAAAUGGAGAGGAAGUUUAAUGAGGCCCUUAAGAAACUCAUUGAAUUGCUGGGUGUCUUGAGAAACAGGAUGGAGCUCCGUGUCCAAGAACAAAGCCCAGAAUCAGAGCACAGAGCUUCCCAAUGAGGAUCACGCCUUCUGAAGUCAGAUCUCUGUGGACAGCCAGGCCAAGGGCUUUUCCCUAAGUGUUGCUCCAUUCUUGUGGAAAGCUCUUAAGUAUACAAUGUAACUGUGUAACUACAACAAUGUAACUAGUUCUCAGCCCUGCCUCUGCAAGGCCAGACUCCCAGAUGCAGACAGAAAGUUCUCAGGCAAAUGCCAGCCCUGUUUGCCAGGUGCCACGUCUCAUCUGCUUGAUUAGCGUCCCACAGACGCUGGCAGGUGGAUUUCCUAGACUCCUGAAUUUCCCUGCAGCCCUUAGUCACUGAGCUCAUCACGUGACCGCCACGGCCUCUUCAUUUUCCAUCUUCACUGCUGCCAAGGGGUGGUCCCCAAUUGGACCACCCCUCAGUCUAGAUCCUCUGCCAUCCAUCCUCCUAGAAGCCUGGAGAUCUGUCCUCACCUCCCUGAAGGCAGAUGUCUCAUGGACUCCCCACUGACCUCGAUAUCAACCCCAGGUCCUGAGCACAUGCCCCCAAAUCAAGCCUCUGGUUUUGAGCUACAUGGCCAGAAUAUCCUUUCGGCUUUAUCUCUUUCUACCAUAACAUUCACCUUUCAACAAGAUGAAACUUCUUCAGCUCCUCGCUGGACCGUCCUAACAUCCCUGAUCUUUCCAUAUCCUGUUCCCCAACUCCAAUGCUGACCAGGAUUCAAGCACCAAGUUUCUGUCUUGGUCCAGCCCCUUACUGGUGGUGUGAAUGUAAACAAGUCAUCUUUUCUCUCUAUAAACAGCCCUAGCUCCCCCAAAGUGUUGGACACUGCAGUGACUGAAUGGGUAGUUUUCAAAAAAGGUAGGUCCUUAUGUCAUUUCAAACUGUGAAUAUUUUUUUAACUAAUUCCUUUUUAAAAGGCAAAGUCUUUAGCCCUGGCUGUCCUGGAACUCACUAUGUUGACCACACUGCCUUCAGACUCACAGAGAUCUGCCUGCCUCUGUUUCCCAAGGCCUGGGAUUAAAGGCAUGAGCCACCAAGCCCAGUUUAAUUUAAAUUGUAUGUGUGUAGGUAUUGUGCCUGCAUGCAUAUCUGUGUGUCACAUGUAUAGAGUACCCAUGGAGACCAAAAGAAUGUGUUAGAUUUCAUAGA